rnacentral:rRNA from 1 species
AACGAACGCUGGCGGCAUGCCUAACACAUGCAAGUCGAACGAGACCUUCGUGUCUAGUGGCGCACGUGUGCUUAACGCGUGGGAACCUGCCCUUAGGUUCGGAAUAACUCCCCGAAAGGGGUGCUAAUACCGGAUAAUCUCUUCGGACCAAAGAUUUAUCGCCUUUGGAUGGGCCCGCGUUGGAUUAGCUAGUUGGUAGGGUAAAAGCCUACCAAGGCGACGAUCCAUAGCUGGUCUGAGAGGAUGAUCAGCCACACUGGGACUGAGACACGGCCCAGACUCGUACGGGAGGCAGCAGUGGGGAAUAUUGGACAAGGGGCGAAAGCGUGAUCAAGCAAUGCGGGGUGAGUGAUGAAGGCGUUAGGGUUGUAAAGCUCUUUUACACGGGAUGAUAAUGACAGUACCGGGAGAAUAAGCUCCGGCUAACUCCGUG